UUUUAAUUGAAUAAAAAUAUUAUAUUAUUAUUUAAUUUUAUAGCAACUUACUUUUUAUAAUUAUUCAUUUGAAUACAUUUGUCUUGAAAGUCAGCAUCUGCCAUUUUUUCUGAUGAUUCAGGAAGCAGCCGGGAGCGGAUGGCGACUGCUAGGGGAACUGGCGUGGCGUGCACAAAGGCAAGGACAGCGACCCACGCCCCACCGGCCAAAGCACCGCUGCUGUCAGCCCGAAUACUACACUUUACUAGUGCCUGCCUUGCCUGCUCAACACACUGAGUUGUAUUUUAUAUUUCAUUCGCACGGUGCGGUGGUUCUCGUCGAAACGUACUGCGCAUCGAUUAUUCUCGAACGCCUAACCAUUCGGCUCCAGUAACCGACACGGACGCACGUACACACUAAAGACGAAAAUAUUAUUUUUCUAUCUCUUUUAUAAUAAUGCUUUCUGUAAUGUUUUUAAAAACGAUAACGAAGCGGAUUCUGGCUGGUUGACAAAUUUAAUGUCGUUCCUAACAAUACUAUUUACCGUGUUUGUUAUACAUUAAUGUAUAUACCUAGUGAGUAUAAUUAAAAUAUAGUUUGUGUGUUAUAAAAAGAUAUGAUAUCAUAGUGUGAUUCAGUAUCUUGAAGAUAGUGGCUGGGCAUUGUGUUUCGCGUAAUAAAAAAAUAUAUUUUAGUUUUAUAUCGGGAAUAGUGUGAGCUAUAGCACGAAUAUGGAUAAAGAAGGCAAAAACCGACUGUAUCUGUAUGGAAUACGUUUCAAAAUUGACAGUGAUUAAGACUUGUCUCGUGAAUACGUGGUAUUUAAACUGAAGUGUAUAGUACUUACCGUAUCAUUGUUAUUAACACUAACGGCAGAUCUUGCAGUAUCAAGCACUGUGGAUCGAAUAAUCAUAACAUAAAAAUCGAUGACUUUCUCAUUUCGUACAUAAUUAAAAUAAAAUAAAAAAACACGGCUGCCCUACCAAAAAAAUCAUUGCCUUCGGGAAGGUGUAAGGUUUCUUGUUUGAUGUAAAUGCGAAUUCUGAAAUUACAUUUUAUUUUUUACUAGCCGACUCGGCAGACUUCGUAGUGCCUCAAUCGAUAAAUAAAAUACCUAAGCUUUUGUAUAAAAUAAACUUAAAACAAACAAAAGGAAUCCGUUCGACGGGGGACACAUCAAAGCAAAAACAAAAUUGUUAUUUUUAUUUAAUUCCGAGCAUUUUCAUAUUUAUCUACCUUUUAAACUCUGGACUUCCACAUAUAAUUCAAGACCAAAAUUAGCCAAAUCGAUCCAGCCGUUCUCGAGUUUUAGCGAGACUAACGAACAGCAAUUCAUUGAUAUAUAAAGAUUACUUAGAAGGAUUGACGAGCUCCAGUCACCUUGAGACAUGAGUUCCAAGUCUCGGUUCUGUAGUAUUUAAAAUCUAACUCGAAAUAUGUAUAUCAGCUAUACUUAUUUGCCAGAUCACCUAUCUUAGAGAUGAUGGAGGUCAGACGGAAGAUCUGUAACAAUACUAAUUUAAAUUAAACUGAAACACAAAAAGACGGCUGUCGAUAAAUAAUUUACUCGUAUACACGAGAAAUUAUGUGAAAUUAAUAUUUAAUAGGUAUAUAGGACUAAGUUGGUGCGUCUGAAUACCAAUAUAAAAACCUUUUUUUUUCUCUUUCUAAUAGACAAUAACAACUCGGAAUAUAACAAUAGAGAUUCUAUUCUUCCUGUUGUGCUUACUAUAUAUCUGUGACUGUAAAUACAAUCUCUGAAGCUUGUAAGUUGUACUUAAUAUUUAAAAUAAAAACUAUUUGGAUCCAAUAAUUUUGAACUUGACAUUUAUAUUAUUAUGUAUAUUUAAUUUUGUUUGAAUCCCACUCGCAUUCUUCGGACAAGAUAAGUAGAGAUAUUAUUCGAAAUAUCAGAUUUAGUCCAUUUUAGCCAGAUGAAAAUACGACCCACGUAAUGGUAAGUAUUUUUUGUCGCUCGUGAACACUAAAGCCAGGGACAAAACAAAGCCGCUAUCUACAUCGAUCGGUAGGCAGCGGCUUGGCUCUGCCCCUGGCAUUGCUGAAGUCCAUGGGUGACGGUAACCACUCACCAUCAGGUGGGCCGUAUGCUCGUCUGCCUACAAGGGCAAUAAAAAAACUUAAACAUGCCAAACUGUAUUUUUUCAUAGUAAAUGUCUGCAUCUCUGAUAAAAUGGGGACUAAGGGUCAAACAUGAUUUUGUUCGCAUAAAAAUUGUAGCUAGUAUUGGAAUCUGCUUACAUACUUGGAUGGAUAGAUUAGAAUAGUAUGAGUUUUAUAAUAUACAUACAAUGCAUACACAAAAAUUCAUUAAAAUCGGCCCAGCCGAUAUGGAUAACUUCAGUGACAUACACACGUACAGUAAAAUUAUACAUAUAAAGAUAUUGAUAUAGGUAAUUAUUUCCCCUUCAAUGUCUGUUCGGGUAAGAUACUAUACAUUCGUAUGUAAUUAUUCGACUACAACGGAGUAUGCUGUGAAGGUAUAACAUCGGGUAAUAAAAACAAAUAGUGGUAAAGACGUAUUAAGCUCGCAAUAGUAGGUACCUCGUGCCUAUAUGUGCCGCCAAGCUACGUUAUGAUUCAAGGCUGGAAGCUCACCUAUGUGUUUAUCAGCCCACAGACUGUUGGACAUAGGCCUCUCUCAAGGUUUCCCACGAGCGGCUCUACGCUCUCUGCAUCCGAUCCAUAAGUGUAUCUAGAUUAAUCAAAGCGAAUAUCAAAUAAUUUUUGGCCUAUAUUAAACGAGUACCGAAGCUCGCUGCUAACCUCCCGGCAAAAUUUAAGUUUCAAUUGUAACGGUACAACGUAUAUACCAUAGAUAUUGGAUAGUGGUUGGUUGGAUAGUUUUACUAGUGGUAGGACCUCUUGUGAGUCCGCAGAGGUGAGAGAGGUGUUUGGGCGUCUUGUGAGCUCGCUUUGACGUCACCACCGUCCUGAAUGUUUCUGCCACGGAGCAGUAAGACGUAUGUCAGCAUCCUGCCGUUUCUGUUGCGAAGCCAUCUAUCUUUUCACUGGUGGUAGGACCUCUUGUGAGUCCGCACGGGUAGAUAACACCGCUCCGCCUAUUUCUGUCGUGAAGCAGUAAUGCGUUGUAAAUGUCUAUGGCCUCCAAUAACCACUUAAUACCAAGUGGGCUGUGAGUUCGUCCUAGCAAUGAAAAAAAAAUGUAUUUACGAUUCAAGGGUCGUUUUUCAUUGCAUUCAUGGGAGAACGAGCUAAUGGUUCCGCUGUUGGGGUUACCGGAGUUCACGGCAAUGAUUAGAUAUAUGAAUGCCGUCGCCCAGCUUGAAGCCUUUCUGUAGUAUUGAAUAGCGGCUGUUCCACCCUUCAAAUCAUGAUUCCUAUGCGACAGAAAUAAGCAGGACCGUUUUUCUUAAAACACGCCCAAAUACGCAAAUUAAUUUAUUUAUUUUUAGUUUCUCAUGUGUCAACAGAAAACGGACAUUACAUACACGUCUACCUUAGCGAGGUGGAGGGACCGUAAAUUCGUCUGUUGAAUUAAGUAUUAAAAAAGCCUUUUUUCAAUUACGGGGGUGUUUAAUUAAACAUACAUGGUUUAUUUCUUUGCUUCUUUCCGUCGGCUAUAUUAUCUACCUAACGUUUAAUCAACUUUAAUUUUAAUAAAACAUAUCUGUUAUUAUCCGCUUUUUAGUCAAUAUUCAAAUAAAUUUCAGAUGUUUUGUUCGUUCAAUAAUAUGCUUUUUUUUCGUAUGCCUUCUCUGUGCUAUUCGAGAAAACCUCUCGAAGGUUGCGGUAAUAGAUUUUUUUAAAUCUUAAUUUUAUCUUCGCCCACUUUUUCUUUAAAAGUCGAAUAACAUUUUCUCGAUCCAAUAAUACAAUUAGUUUCAUGUCGGAAUGUAUAUCCAUACAAUAGUCAA